GGGACUUUUGGAUUUUCCCAAAGGGGAAAAUUGAAAGAACAACCCCCCCUGAGGGGGAAGGUUUUCGAAUUUAAAAUUUUUUGUUAGGAAAAAAAAGUUCGGGGUAAUGUCGUUACCUGAGGGAACUAACCGAAAGCCCGGGUAAUUCGGGCCGCAGCGCGGUAUAAGUGGGGGGCAGGGUGUCUCGAAUAUUUGGGGUAAAAGCGGGCAGGGGUUUCUUAAAUUGAGAGAAAACCCCCGGUCAACCGGGAGGGUCUUUGAAAAUGGGGACUUUGUGCCGAGAAAAGAGUGGAAUUCCCGGGAGCGGGAAAAGUGUAGAGAGGUGGGGAACACCCGUGGGGAAGGGGACUCUUUGGCCGUAAAAGACACUGAGGGGCGAAAGAGUGGGAGCAAACAGGGUUUGAUACCCUGGGGUGUACGCCGUGAAAGAUGAGUGUUAAGUGUGAGAGGGUGUCUGCCCCUUAGUGUUGCAGCAAAAGCAUUAAGCACUCUGCCUGGGGAGUACAGCCGCAAAGGUGAAAAUCUAAGGAAUUGAGGGGGGCCCGCACAAGCGGGGGAGCGCGUGGGGUAAAUUGAAGCAAAGCGAAGAACACUACCAGGUGUUGACAUCUCUUUGCCUUUCCCAGAGAUAGGGGGUUUUCCUUUGGGGGACAAAAGUGACAGGUGGUGCACGGUGGUGUUCUGAUCGUGUCUUGAGAUGUUGGGUUAAGUCUCGCAAAGAGCGCAACCCCUGAUAUUAGUGGCCAGCACUCAGUUGGGCACUCUAAGGGGAGAGCCGGGGACAAACCGGGGGAAGGGGGGGAGGAGGUGAAAUCUUCAUGCCCCCUAUGACCCGGGGUACACACAUGUUACACAGGGGGGUACAAAGGGGAGCGAAAACGCGAGGUGGAGCCACUCUCAUAAAAACACUCUCAGUUUGGAGUGUAGGGUGCAAAUCUCGUACACGAAGAGGGGAUAGCUAGUAAUCGCGGAUCAGCACGCCGCGGGGAAUACGUUCCCGGGCCCUGUACACACCGCCCGUCACACCACGAGAGUUUUAACACCCGAGGUGGGUGGGGAAAUCGCAAGAGAGCCAGCCGCCUAAGGUGGACAGGAGUGGC
rnacentral:rRNA from 1 species